AGGGACAGUCAGGCUGGUGCUUUGACCUGGCAAGGUGACAAGUGAGUCCCACAGGAUCCCUUAGUCAAGGUAGUUUGGCAGCAGAGCCUGCAGAGGACAGCCAGAGAGAGCAGGUGCCUUUGAGACGCUGCAGUCGCUGCCAAGCAAACUCUAUCUUUUCUGCUGCCGUCCCUGGGGAGGGAAGCCAGUGGUUAGCAGACAGGACUUCUGUCUGUCCCUUUACAUGGGCACACAGUAACCAAGCAAUUACAAAGGAUUGUUAAACUGUGCAGCAGAUGGAAGAAGAGGAAGCUAAGGCAGCGUCUCUCCUUACUAAGAAUAAAACUGGAAGCGUGAGAGAGGCUCAGCUAACCAAGUUUCUGCAAGAGGAGGCGUUCAGGGCCCAAGCAGGUCAGCACGUGGUCCAGGUUGGUGCUCCUGUAAGGAGAAAGUCGGGAUGAGUGAGGCCAGAGCCUGCAGGGAGCCCGUCUGGCCAAGAAUCACUAUGGGGUGCUCUGGCUGCGGGUUGGCGGCAGGCAUCUUGCAGGCCUGUGAUGCAAGACCAGGAAACAAAGGGAUUGGGACACCGGUGGCCUCCGUCCUCACUAAAGCUACUUGGGCUGAUGGAAACCCUGCCAAGGGUUUGAGCAGCUGUGGCAGGAACUGGAACCCGGAUGGAGUUUCUUUGGAUGGAGACUCCAGUAGAGGCCACAGUAACCCAUCCUGCCUUCAUAAGUCCAAGGAUGGAAAAGAACGCCGGCCCCCCCCCCCCUUUUCUUUGCUUCUCUCUUUUUGUAUGGUACUGGGAACUGAAGCCAGGGCUUUGGACAUGCUGGCUCUCUGGAACUUGAUAGAACCAACACUGGUUUGGAGGAUGAUGCCUGAGAUUCCACCAGCCCUUGGGAGUCGGGCCAGGACUGCUACGAUCUUGUCUCAAAAGAACAACACGGAGACAGUGAGAUGGCUCAGCAGGUACAAGCGGCUGCUCUUGCAUGAGGACCCGAGUUUGAUCUGCAGAUCCCACAGUGAAAGAAGAGCCAAUUCAAGAUUGUCCUCUGACCCCAACUAAAUGUGACUGCCAUACAGGGAGAAGACAGUUCACAGAUCAUAAUAAAACCUAAAAGGAAACCUAUCUACAUUAAGAUAAAGACUAUAAUAAAGAUGAUAUGUCAAGUUGACAGGGUGAAAUUUUUUUUUAAAGAUUUAUUUACUUAUUAUAUGUAAGUACACUGUAGCUGUCUUCAGACACUCCAGAAGAUGGCAUCAGAUUUCAUUACAGAUGGUUGUAAGCCACCAUGUGGUUGCUGGGAUUUGA
rnacentral:lncRNA from 1 species